rnacentral:sRNA from 1 species
CUAGAAACUAACCGAGCUUCUUCUUGCUUCUCAAAGCUUUGAUGGUGUAGCCAUAGUCCGUACGAGUCUUUGUCUUUGUAUCUAUUAACAAAGAUA